GUGAGGAAUAUUGGUCAAUGGGCGGGAGCCUGAACCAGCCAAGUCGCGUGAAGGAAGAAGGAUCUAUGGUUCGUAAACUUCUUUUGCAGGGGAAUAAAGUGCAGGACGUGUCCUGUUUUGUAUGUACCCUGAGAAUAAGGAUCGGCUAACUCCGUGCCAGCAGCCGCGGUAAUACGGAGGAUCCGAGCGUUAUCCGGAUUUAUUGGGUUUAAAGGGUGCGUAGGUGGUUUGAUAAGUCAGCGGUGAAAGUUUGCAGCUUAACUGUAAAAAUGCCGUUGAAACUGUCGGACUUGAGUGUAAAUGAGGUAGGCGGAAUGCGUGGUGUAGCGGUGAAAUGCAUAGAUAUCACGCAGAACUCCGAUUGCGAAGGCAGCUUACUAAGCUACAACUGACACUGAAGCACGAAAGCGUGGGAAUCAAACAGGAUUAGAAACCCCGGUAGUCC
rnacentral:rRNA from 1 species